UAAAUUGAGAGUUUGAUCCUGGCUCAGGACGAACGCUGGCGGCGUGCCUAACACAUGCAAGUCGAGCGAUGAAAUUCCCUUCGGGGAAUGGAUUAGCGGCGGACGGGUGAGUAA
rnacentral:rRNA from 1 species